AAAUUGAAGAGUUUGAUCAUGGCUCAGAUUGAACGCUGGCGGCAGGCCUAACACAUGCAAGUCGAACGGUAACAGGAAACAGCUUGCUGUUUCGCUGACGAGUGGCGGACGGGUGAGUAAUGUCUGGGAAACUGCCUGAUGGAGGGGGAUAACUACUGGAAACGGUAGCUAAUACCGCAUAACGUCGCAAGACCAAAGAGGGGGACCUUAGGGCCUCUUGCCAUCGGAUGUGCCAGAUGGGAUUAGCUAGUAGGUGGGGUAAAGGCUCACCUAGGCGACGAUCCCUAGCUGGUCUGAGAGGAUGACCAGCCACACUGGAACUGAGACACGGUCCAGACUCCUACGGGAGGCAGCAGUGGGGAAUAUUGCACAAUGGGCGCAAGCCUGAUGCAGCCAUGCCGCGUGUAUGAAGAAGGCCUUCGGGUUGUAAAGUACUUUCAGCGGGGAGGAAGGGAGUAAAGUUAAUACCUUUGCUCAUUGACGUUACCCGCAGAAGAAGCACCGGCUAACUCCGUGCCAGCAGCCGCGGUAAUACGGAGGGUGCAAGCGUUAAUCGGAAUUACUGGGCGUAAAGCGCACGCAGGCGGUUUGUUAAGUCAGAUGUGAAAUCCCCGGGCUCAACCUGGGAACUGCAUCUGAUACUGGCAAGCUUGAGUCUCGUAGAGGGGGGUAGAAUUCCAGGUGUAGCGGUGAAAUGCGUAGAGAUCUGGAGGAAUACCGGUGGCGAAGGCGGCCCCCUGGACGAAGACUGACGCUCAGGUGCGAAAGCGUGGGGAGCAAACAGGAUUAGAUACCCUGGUAGUCCACGCCGUAAACGAUGUCGACUUGGAGGUUGUGCCCUUGAGGCGUGGCUUCCGGAGCUAACGCGUUAAGUCGACCGCCUGGGGAGUACGGCCGCAAGGUUAAAACUCAAAUGAAUUGACGGGGGCCCGCACAAGCGGUGGAGCAUGUGGUUUAAUUCGAUGCAACGCGAAGAACCUUACCUGGUCUUGACAUCCACGGAAGUUUUCAGAGAUGAGAAUGUGCCUUCGGGAACCGUGAGACAGGUGCUGCAUGGCUGUCGUCAGCUCGUGUUGUGAAAUGUUGGGUUAAGUCCCGCAACGAGCGCAACCCUUAUCCUUUGUUGCCAGCGGUCCGGCCGGGAACUCAAAGGAGACUGCCAGUGAUAAACUGGAGGAAGGUGGGGAUGACGUCAAGUCAUCAUGGCCCUUACGACCAGGGCUACACACGUGCUACAAUGGCGCAUACAAAGAGAAGCGACCUCGCGAGAGCAAGCGGACCUCAUAAAGUGCGUCGUAGUCCGGAUUGGAGUCUGCAACUCGACUCCAUGAAGUCGGAAUCGCUAGUAAUCGUGGAUCAGAAUGCCACGGUGAAUACGUUCCCGGGCCUUGUACACACCGCCCGUCACACCAUGGGAGUGGGUUGCAAAAGAAGUAGGUAGCUUAACCUUCGGGAGGGCGCUUACCACUUUGUGAUUCAUGACUGGGGUGAAGUCGUAACAAGGUAACCGUAGGGGAACCUGCGGUUGGAUCACCUCCUUA
rnacentral:rRNA from 1 species